GAGUUUGAUCCUGGCUCAGGAUGAACGCUAGCGGCAGGCUUAACACAUGCAAGUCGAGGGGUAACAGGGAUUGCUUGCAAUCCGCUGACGACCGGCGCACGGGUGCGUAACGCGUAUGCAACCUACCUUCUACAGGGGGAUAGUCAAUAGAAAUGUUGAAUAAUACCCCAUACGAUCUUUGAAUAGCAUUAUUUAAAGAAGAAAGUUCCGGCGGUAGAAGAUGGGCAUGCGUCCUAUUAGUUAGUUGGAGAGGUAACGGCUCCCCAAGACAUCGAUAGGUAGGGGUCCUGAGAGGGAGACCCCCCACACUGGUACUGAGACACGGACCAGACUCCUACGGGAGGCAGCAGUGAGGAAUAUUGGACAAUGGAGGCAACUCUGAUCCAGCCAUGCCGCGUGCAGGAAGACUGCCCUAUGGGUUGUAAACUGCUUUUAUACAGGAAGAAAUGUACCUACGUGUAGGUAUUUGACGGUACUGUACGAAUAAGGAUCGGCUAACUCCGUGCCAGCAGCCGCGGUAAUAAGGGCGA
rnacentral:rRNA from 2 species